rnacentral:rRNA from 1 species
UACGAAGGGGGCUAGCGUUGCUCGGAAUCACUGGGCGUAAAGGGCGCGUAGGCGGAUCUUUAAGUCGGGGGUGAAAGCCCAGGGCUCAACCCUGGAAUUGCCUUCGAUACUGAAGAUCUCGAGACCGGAAGAGGUAAGUGGAACUGCGAGUGUAGAGGUGAAAUUCGUAGAUAUUCGCAAGAACACCAGUGGCGAAGGCGGCUUACUGGUCCGGUUCUGACGCUGAGGCGCGAAAGCGUGGGGAGCGAACAGG